CCUCGUAGCUUGAUCACCAUCUC
rnacentral:miRNA from 11 species